UGGAGGUCACUGUUAUUGGGGCAGGGGCCAUUUUAAAGGGGCAGGCCGCUGUAAAGGUCACUGUUAAAGGGGCGCGCACUGUGGAGUUCACUUUUAAGGGGACAGGGGCCACUAUUGAAGGAGAAACUGCUGUGGAGGUCACUGUUAAAGGGGCGGGCACUGUGGAGGUCACUGUUAAGGGGGCAGGCCACUGUGGAGGUCACUGUUAAAGGGCCGUUCAUUGUGGAG